UGAGGAAUAUUGGUCAAUGGGCGCGAGCCUGAACCAGCCAAGUAGCGUGAAGGAUGAAGGUCCUAUGGAUUGUAAACUUCUUUUAUAGCAGAAUAAAGUGACCCACGUGUGGGUUUUUGUAUGUAUGCUAUGAAUAAGGAUCGGCUAACUCCGUGCCAGCAGCCGCGGUAAUACGGAGGAUCCGAGCGUUAUCCGGAUUUAUUGGGUUUAAAGGUGCGUAGGCGGAAAGAUAAGUCAGCCUGUGAAAGUUUGCGGCUCAACCGUAAAAUUGCAGUUGAUACUGUUUUUCUUGAGUGUACAUAAGGUAGGCGGAAUUCGUAGUGUAGCGGUGAAAUGCUUAGAUAUCACGAAGAACUCCGAUUGCGAAGGCAGCUUACCGGGGUACAACUGACGCUGAUGCACGAAAGUGUGGGUAUCAAACA
rnacentral:rRNA from 1 species